GGCUCCUUGGUCAAGCGGUUAAGACACCGCCCUUUCACGGCGGUAACAGGGGUUCGAUUCCCCUAGGAGUCAC
rnacentral:tRNA from 1 species